rnacentral:rRNA from 1 species
UGGGGGAUAUUGCACAAUGGGGGGAAACCCUGAUGCAGCAACGCCGCGUGUGGGAAGAAGGUUUUCGGAUUGUAAACCACUGUUCUUGGUGAAGAUAAUGACGGUAACCAAGGAGAAAGCUCCGGCUAACUACGUGCCAGCAGCCGCGGUAAUACGUAGGGAGCAAGCGUUGUCCGGAUUUACUGGGUGUAAAGGGUGCGUAGGCGGCUUUGCAAGUCAGACGUGAAAACCACAGGCUCAACCUGUGGACUGCGUUUGAAACUGUAGGGCUUGAGUGAAGUAGAGGUAGGCGGAAUUCCCGGUGUAGCGGUGAAAUGCGUAGAGAUCGGGAGGAACACCAGUGGCGAAGGCGGCCUACUGGGUUUUAACUGACGCUGAGGCACGAAAGCAUGGGUAGCAAACAGGAUUAGAUACCCUGGUAGU